rnacentral:lncRNA from 1 species
AGGAAGUGUAGUUCUGCUCUAACCAUCCAUGUGAAUGAUGCAACGAAGGCCAUCUCCUUUGAGCAUGUAGUCAAAGGCCUUGUUGAUCUCAGAGAAAGGUACACUGUGUGUGAUGAACUUUUCCAACUCUAGCUCCUGCACCAUGGAACCAAAUUUUCAAAAAAAGAUCAGGAGAGUCCAAUUGCAGGCACAUUUCUAAAGGACUAAUCAUGACUGCUGAAUAAUUGUCGAUAAGCUUCUGAAUUUCCAUUCAUCAAUACCUCUGCAUAAUUUAGCUAGUUGUACCAUAAGAAAGAUUGUUUUUUAACAGAGUGCAAAGCAUGAGAAAUCAAAACCAUGUAUUUACCUUGUUCAUAUACUUCUCCACAACCAAAGGAAGGUCAGUGCGUGGUUUAUAGUUUCCGAAGAAGGUUCCCUUAAGAGUCCUUUCAGUCAGAAAGUUUAUAGGGUGGGUCUUGAAUUGGGCUUCUUUGUGAGGCACCCCAACCAGCACAGCAACACCCCAACCCUGACAUUCAAGGUCACAUUUUUAGCAUAUCAUAAUAAUACCGAAACAAAUUAUUAGUGCACAAGGCUCUUGAACUGCUUGUAAAGGGAGUCGGAAGAUACAUCGUGAACACAUUCGAAUGCAGAUAUCAUGGCAUUUACGUUACCAGUGCAUUCAACGCUCCUAUCAACUCCACCGCCAGUCAUUUCAGCAAGCACCUGAAAAAUUGCCAUCGCAUACUAGUUGUUUUGGCAAUAUAGCUGGUAUUCAAAACACCUAAUUUAACUUGCAAUAUAUUACUAGCACCAUAAUUCAUUUGCCAGAAUAUGAAAGUUUAGUAUUGAUCAAACCUCUUGGACUGGCCUGUCAUAGUCCAUUGGAUUCACAAACUCAGUGACGCCGAACUUCUUUGCUGGUGGCACGAAGGGGGAUUUUUAGCACCAAAUUUUGAAUAAGUUCAGUAGAAAUCAGAUGUCAACAGAUUAGACUAUGAAUAGAAAUAUAGAAUACCGCAUAGUUUUGAAGAAAAACAUGCCAGAAGUUUGGUGCUUAUGUCAAUAAAGGUUAAAUUGGCCCUACACUAGUUUUGUUGAUAUGGCAAGACAUUCUAUAAUCAAAGGAAGCAGCUCUUCACCUUCAUUAAAUUUUGUAGGAUUUCUAUCAACACCAAUAAUCCUUGAUGCUCCUGCAAUCCUGGCCCCUUCAGCAGCCUAUUAAUAUGAAGGCAUAAAUCAAAUAUAACUGUUUGCCUAAUCUUUGUUUGAUAAAUCAAAUAUAAAUAAAAUUAAAACAAUACUAAAUGGAGAUGAUGUAUCAUGAAGCAUGAACCAGAGGGCCAUGCAAGUACACAUUUAGAGCUCUAUAAAUUAGAUAACUGAAAUAGGAAAGAUACUCACAGCAAGGCCUACAGCACCCAAUCCAAAAAUUGCCACUGUUGAACCCUUUGGUGGUUUUGCAACAUUUAGAGUUGCACCAAGACCUUAGAAAGAAAACAAUAUGGGGAAUUUCAUGUGUCUGUUUUGGACAUUCUGUAUACAUGACAAUCUUGGUGUCUCACCUGUUGAAAUGCCACAGCUAAGAACACAAACUUUAUCAAGGGGAGCCAGGGGGUCAAUCUUGGCAACACAGCCUGAGUGGACGACAGUGUACUCACUGAAAGUGGAGGUUCCUAGAAAAUGAUAAAUUGGUUCUCCAUUGAUAGAGAACCUGGAUUGCCCAUCACUGAUCAUCACCCCUCUUUCGGUGUUAAUCCUAAGGAGAUCACACAUAUUGCUCUCCUCAUGCUUACAGUGAGCACACUCCUUACAUUCACCAGUGAAUACAGGGAGCACAUGGUCUCCUGGUGCAAGAUCUGUUACGCCUUCACCAACACUCUCCACAAUCCUAAUAUCACCAUAUGAUGAAAAAGAAAAAUGAAUAAAUAUACUGAAUAGAAAAAGUUUAUUAAAUUAGCAUUCUGGAUGAAAGAAAACUGGUGGUUCCCUGUGAACAGAAUUUAUUUACCAAUCUUUAAAAAAAGAUCUCAAUUAAAAGCUUUCAGAAACUAAUAAUGGUUGCAGAAAUAUAAGACCAUUAUGAGUGUUGCUCAAUUUGGUAUCAAGCUUUCAAUCUACCAUGACCUUGUCAUUAAGUCAAAUGUCUCAUGUAUCAAAGUGGCAACAGAGAGCAACACCUUUAAUCAAGCAGAUGAACUUCUAUUAAUCCCUUUGCAACUAUAAUCUUUUUAAAAAAGAGGAGGGAAAUAGAGACCAGGUUUAGCAUGCUAUAUUGGUCGUAUGAGUUGCAUGGGUAUUAAUUGAGAUCACUUUGGUUGUAUAAAUUUGAAAUCUCAUCUAAGAAAUCAUUAAAGAAAGCAACCUAAAUAAGAACAGUUACUGACAAACAGAUUUAUGCAAAAAUAAGACUAUGGAAGCCAUACCCUCCUGCUUCAUGGCCAAAGAUUCGAGGAAACAAGGGAGUUUGGCCCUGCAAAUUAUAAAACAAACAGAAUUGUAGAAUCUUAACAAACUGUCAUGAACACAGAAAAUAAAGCUGAUAGAGCUAUAUGACCAACAUAUUUGCUCUCUCUCUUUCAUUUAAAUGUUAAGUGGCAGGCAGAGGAAAUUCUUGUGAAGAAAAAGAAUACUGGUUUUUAUAAUAUAUGUGAAUAAAAAUACCUUGGCUUCCCAGAAGUACACAUCAGUGUGGCAGAGGGAAGUGUAGAGGAUCUUCAGCCGGACCUCCAUUUCUUUUGGAGGUGCAACCUCGACCUCCUCGAUCACUAAUGGCUUCCCAGCCUCCCAUGCAACUGCCGCUGUAUAUGAAACAAAAAUUAAUAAUGCAACGCAAAGACCAGUAUGAUAAAUCAAUUGUUUCUAACUAUUUUUUCUAAGAAGAAAUUGUUCUGGCAGUAUAUUAAUUUCUUUGAUUAAGAAAACAUAAACAUCUACCAGAAGUUACUAGGACUGCAAGGGGAUUGAUGGAAUUGAAUUUUUUAGUAUAUUUUAUUUAUGAUGGAUUUUAGGUGAUUAUGAUUGACAAGCUUUGCGUUAUCGAGGGCAACAUCCUUCAGUAGCAUGAUCAUAUUAUGUCUUGGAUUUAGGACGUGACAUUUUAUGAUAUCAGAGUCUUAAUUAUGAUCACUUGUGACUGCGAUAUAAGUGAUUGGGACAUGAUAUAAGUAAUAUUAGAGCUUAGGUUAUGAUCAAUAGGGACUAUGACUUAAGUGAAAUUUAAGUAUAAAGUUAUGAUCAUUAAAAAUAUGAUAAAAGUAGCAGAAAGAAUUUGAAGUCUGAAUUUUGGAUCAAUAGGUACAGUGAUAAAAUUUAUGCAUAAGUGGUAUAUGAUGUGCAUAACGGAACUGAUGAGUUAUAUCUCAGAUUUGAAUAAGUAGGGUUUGACCUAAAUAUGAGAGGUGUUGACUCUGGAAUAAAGUGGGAUAUGUUGAUAUAUUAUAUUGAGUAUACUUGUUCAAAUGUUAUUUAGGUAAUUUUGGAAUUCUAAAUUUGAUAUGGGUGAAGAAUAUGAUGACUUUUCCAAUUUUGAUGUUAAUUAUUUAAUCAUUACAAUUUUGAGAUUAUUAGAAGAAGUUUAUUUAGGAUGUGGCCUCAGAAAGAAUUGCAUCAUACAAGAGAAUUGUUUUUUCCAGCAUUGAAUCUAUAAGAGGAUCAUGUAUUAAACUCGCAUGUAAAUGAAAAACAUAUUUGGUUUUAUUGACGAAUUGGAUUUUAUUAUGAGAGCAUGAUAUAUACAUUUUGAUGGAAUCUUUAAUAAUUUUUAUUACCAUCUUUGAAUUGGAUUACUUGAUCUUCUUUAUAUUUGUUGAGAUAGUGAGGUGUAUUAAUUAUUUUAAGUCAAAGUUUAGGUUUCCGAGUGGAUCUAAAGUAUCUUGCUAUUGUUACAUUUUUGGAAGACUUAUAUGAGUUUUAACAAAUAAAGAAUAAGUUUUAUAUCAGUUUAUUUAUUGAUGCGAAGGGUCAUGAUGAAGGAAGCUCUAUGAGAAAUAAUUGAGUUGAUUUCACUCACGACGAUAUUGACUUAAGGUCUUCUAAUUUGUUAAAGAUUUGAGUUAAAUGUUUUACAAAGAAAGAUUGGUUUGGAAUCAUCCCAUUGAUUGUCAAGCAAAUUUAGGAAUAACUCACUCCAAAUUAAUUCUAGAUGUAUUGAAUUCUAGAUGAGUGGUGAAAGCUUAUGCAAUGGUUUCAAAUAUAGAAAGUGGAUCAAAAUUUUAACUUUGAUGUGGUAUGCUCAAGACAUAGCAAGGACAAAGAAACUCAAAGUUUUGCUCUAGUUCUAUUUACAAAAAAAGAAGAAAGGUUGGAUCUUUCUUAGAUUCUAAUAUAAAGUGGUAUUUUUGAAUUCAUUCGAUAAACCUAUAAAUUCGAUAAGUUUAGAUCAGAGUGCACAGCAAAAGUGUGGUGGUUUGAACUGAUUAGGAACAUUAAUUCUUUGAUUCAAAAGAUAUUAUGAUGGAAGACAUUACUUUCCAAGUAAUAAAGGAUUUUAUUAAUAAUGAAAGGAUAUACUACUGAUUCUUGAUCUAAUCUGGACAUAAUCGUGCAAUUUUUGCUAAUAAGUUAUUCUAUUGUAGACAAUGCUAAGAAGAACCAGGGACAUCUUAAGUUAAAGUUAAUGGAUUGAUGGUUCUUUGGUUAGGCUUAGACCUAGAAUGUUGUGGCAUAAAUAUCCUUCUAACUUUGCCAUCGUUACUCUAUAUGGUUGUAGAACCUUGAGGUUUUUCUAAAAUAAAAGCCUAAUUGUUAAACAUGGAUGAUGCUAAGAGAAGAAAGAAGGCUGUCAAUACUCAAGCCUUCUACUAAGGAUAGAUUGGGCCAAUAGUACUUUUUGAGUGAAAUAAGUCAAAGCAAUGAAUUUUAAGGGCAAGCAAUUAUGAUAUCUUAAUCGAAGAUUGGGAGGCUAAUAUUCUUUUGAAAGAGAAUAAGAGAAUUUGAUAUGUAAUGUAAAAUGAAAGGAUUGAGUUUUGGGAGCACAAGGAUGACAUGAUGGAUGUGUACUUUUGAAGUUUGAGCCUGAAGAUAUGCCAAGUUUCGAGGAUGAAAUUUUUUUUUUAAGAGGAGUAGAAUGUGAUAUUCGGCCCUAAAUUUUUUCCUGCAUGAAUCUUAAGGUAGCUCCUCCCCCCCCCAAAAAAAAGAAAAGAAACAGCAAUGAAGACUCCCGAUAGGAGUUUUCUUCCCCAUUGAAUCUGGGUGAAAAUCGAUCUCCUAGAACUCUCCCUCUCCCUCGUAAGCAAGCCACGAUGAGCACCGGCCUUUCUCCCUCUUCUUCUCUCUCUUUUUUUCCUUUGAAAUCGUGGACUACCCUCACCGUGUUCGUCUAAGAUCAUCGCCAGAGAUGUUGCUAAAGCCCAAGGUAAGCCCCGGACCUCUUCCUCUCCUUCUUUCCAUGCCAUUGCGCAUGGCCGCCGGCCGUCGAACCUAUCAAAAGGGCCGCCAAAAGCAAAGACCUGUUUUCUCUGUUUUAAUCGAGCCUUAUUUUUUCUUUUUCUUGCCACCAACGCUGCCGCCUGCGGUGCCGCACUUCUGGAUCAUGACCCCCGACCUCCCUACCUUCCUCCUCAGAGGUUAUGAUCGUUGGUGAUCCAAGAAAGGGAUCGGAUCCCCUAUUUAUCAUAUUUUUUCAUGAUUUUCUUGACCGACCGGUCACCACCGCUGGCCUUCCACCAUUGCCCGUCGUCGGUCGCCUGCUGUCAAUCUUAUGGCCAUGAGCGAUCGGGCCCUUUGCUCCCCCAUUCGGCCAAAAAAAGGAAGAAAAAAAAAGAGAAGAAAAGAAAAGGAAAGAAAAACAAGAAAAGGAGAGGGAAGGGAUUUUUCUCUCUCUUGUGACUCUCUUUGCUCUAUCUUUCUCUUCCUAUCUAAUCCUUGGAUCCCAGUAUGAACUUAAGAUGAUCUUUUUAAAGUGAUCUGAAAUCACUUUGAUAUCCGUGCAGUAGGUCGGUUUUCAGUCCGACCCUUGUCAGAAAUUUAUAACAUUUGAUCACUGUUAACCCUUAUUGAGUCAUCCUGACAUGAUCCCUGAUGAUCUUGAUCAUGGAUUCCUUCUUUUGAGGAAUAUGAAGACUCUCUCUCCAUUUUUUCUCUAUAUUUUCUCUCUUCAUCCACUUUCUCUCUCUAAGAAGAUCUAGGAACUCCAGUAUCGAGUCAUACCUUCUUCUUCUAGAGAUCCGUGUUGAUCCGAUAAGAAGAUCCUGAAUCGCUUUGAUGCCUGGAUAGUCUAUUGGACUGAUCACCUGAUCAACGACUUUCUUUUAUUAUUUAAUUUUAUUGAAUUAAUUGAAUGAAAAUUGAUCAUAAUUUAACAUUUUAAAUAGCAUUAUCUGAUUCAUCUAACGAAGUCUAAAGAUCUAGGAUGAACGAGGUAAGUGGAUCAUAUGCUUCUUAUUUUUUUUAAAUUAUCAUAUUUUUCAUGCAAAUAAUUUGUUGUUGAUGAAAUCAUAUUUUUCAAAAAAUAAGGAUCGGCAUAUAUGAUAUGUAAAAGCAUGUUUUAUUAUGAUCAUUGAUUGCAUGAAUAUAUUUUAUAAAAAUAGCAUGUUUAUGAAGUAUAAANNNNNNNNNNNNNNNNNNNNGCAUUAUCUGAUUCAUCUAACGAAGUCUAAAGAUCUAGGAUGAACGAGGUAAGUGGAUCAUAUGCUUCUUAUUUUUUUUAAAUUAUCAUAUUUUUCAUGCAAAUAAUUUGUUGUUGAUGAAAUCAUAUUUUUCAAAAAAUAAGGAUCGGCAUAUAUGAUAUGUAAAAGCAUGUUUUAUUAUGAUCAUUGAUUGCAUGAAUAUAUUUUAUAAAAAUAGCAUGUUUAUGAAGUAUAAAUUUUAUUGUUUUUCCAUCUAUAUACAUAUAUGUUUUAAGAAAAAGAUAUAAAGAUUUCAAAGGCUCUCAUAUAAGUAUGAAUAAAUCUCUAAAAUUGAAAAGAUCGACAUCCGAAACUAGCAUCUAUAAGAAACAUGAUCCCACCAAUGGAUAUAAAAUUGACAUAUGCAACAAGAAUUUUAUCGAUUAAGAAAUAUGACCCGAUCACGGAUAUAAAGUGACUUUAGCACGAAUAUCUAUGAGCAAUAUUUUAAAAUAUGAUAUGAAAAUCCGACAAAAAUGAUUUACUCAUCAUGUUUAUGAAAUUUUAUGAUUUAUGCAUGCAUGAUUGUUUUUAUGACUUAUUUUAUUAUAUGCUCUAUGAAAUGAUUUAUGUUUAUAAUAUCUGUUAUUUUCUAAAUAUUGCACUAUCAUGAAAAAAAUUUAUACUUGAUCUGGUAAAGAAGCGUAGAUUCUACUUACUGAGCCAGUAUAGCUCAUAUAUUUUUAUUUUUUCUUUUACAGACGAAUAAGUUUAGCACCAACGAAAGAUUUAAGCUUGGAGAUCUGCGUAGCAAGCUUGAAAAUUUUGUAUUUGAAACUUAGUUUAUGGGAUGAUUAUGGAUUUGUAGCCAAUUAUUUAUGAAUUUUGAGAUGUGAAUUUGAUAUUUGAUUUUGGAUUUAGUCGCUUUAAACCAAUUUUGAUUUAAUUAUAUGAUGAAUGAUGGAAUUAAAUCUUUUACUAUAUGUUAUUUAUGAUGAAUUUUAGUUGAUUAUGAUUGUCAAGCUUCGUGUUAUCGAGGGCAGCAUCCUUCGGUAGCAUGACCGUGUUAUGUCCCAAAUUUUGGACGUGACAACUUGAAUCCAAAAUGAUCACUCUUAUCAAAUAUGGUUUCAAUAUGAAUCAUUUUAAGAUCUGGUCAAGACAUGAAUGGAAGCAACAUGAAGGUGGUGCAAGUAGUGUAGCAUUGAAACUGUCUACAGUUAAUCAAUUACCAACAAAUAUUACUCACUGGAAAUAGACUGCUGCUACUCUUUUUCUUUUCUUUUCUUUUUUUUCCUUUUUUUUGCAGAAGAGGCUAGUAGGUAAUAAGCCGCAAAACAGGAGCAAACAGAGCCAAAAAAAAAAAUUUUGUGUCAUAACCCCUAAAUUCAUUGAAGGCAAGAUUUGAGCCAAGUUUCUGGUACAUCUUCCAAGAAAUUUUAUCAACUUAUUGGGCAAGCAUAUUUGAUGAUCACAUUUGAGAGGGGAAAAGUUCUGUAACAAUCUUGAAAAAAAAUUUCAUAUCAAAUUCCUGCAAAAAAUUAACUUGAAAAACCAUGACUUUAUUGAAGAUUAGUUAAUAGUCUCUGAUUUUGACAAACGAUUCCACUACUCAAAGAUCUUCUAACUACAGAACUGCAAACGAAAUCAAAAACAAAACUGAACAUAGCAUAGGCACAUAAACACAAAAUGACACCAUACAAAAAAUUUUAAUUAGAUUCCUUUAAUGUGCUUAAAAUGCUACCUCGGCAUUGUAUGACCUGACCAGCUGUGCUUUCAAUCUCUUCCACCUUGCGGAUUUUGGGUUGUACAGUAGUAAAUCCCCUGGAGUCAUGAACUUAAGCAAAGAAAAAAAUUGACUUUAGAAAAUUACUAGAGAACCUAAUAUUAGCAAAAAAGCAACAGAGCAGAGAACCAAAUCAAAUCUUUAAGAAAGAGGAAGUAUCUGCAUAGGAAAAAAAAAAAAAACCAUACCAACCUAUCCAACAGUAUUACUUUUAAAAAUAAUCCCAAAGCAGAAAACUAAGUGGAGAUAUCAUUGAAGAAUUUAUAACAGAAAUAUAGAAGGCUACAAACCUUGGCAUCUUAUAACUCGACUACCUCUGCUCAUAAUCUUUUCCACCCUGUGGGUUGUGGGAUGCAAGACAGGAAAUACCCUAGGAUGAAUAACUACGAAAAAAAAAAUAGUAGUAACUUUAGAAAUUAACCAGAGGGCCUCUAAUAUUAAGAAAAGAGAACUCAACCAAAUACCAAGGAAGAUUCAAAAAACAGAGCAUAGGGACAUUAAAAAAAAAAGGAAGAUCAAACCAUCCCAUUCUAUCCAAAAUCUUAGGUUCCCAAAAUGAACCCAACAUGGUGGAUUUGAAAGGCUACAAACCUCCACAUCUCAUCAAAUGACCAGCUGCCAUCGCCAUCUCUGAGACUCCUCCUCAAAUGCCUCUGGAAAGAUCAGUUUAUAUGCAACAAAACAAUGGAACUUACCAUGGUGUAGAGAGAGAAAGAGGUAUUUAUAAACCCACAGAGAGAGUGUUCAAAGAAUGCCCACAGCUAAAGCGAGAGGGUUCCACUCGGUGGGCGGAGCCGGGAAUUGGUUGCGGUGUUCCUUGUCUAGCUUCUUGUUAGCCAGAGACGUUGAGUAAGACAACGGGUUUUGGAGGUAGUAGUUGUUAGUAAACAGGGUUUUGGUUGUCUUUAUUGGUAGGGCAAUAGAUUAAGGUGGAGAGGGAGGGAGAGAGAGAGAGAGUCCCAAGGGUGUCCAAAGACAAAGCGGAAGAGUGCAGAGAAUCUAGCGCCCCUUCGCUUUCCAUGGCUUGGUGGCCGACGCCGGAAUCGGUUACGGUGUUCCUUGUCUAGCUUCUUGUUAACCGGGUACGUUGAGUAAGCCAAUGGGUUUUUGGAGGGAGUAGAUAAGGUUCCGACUUCCGAGAUUAAGGUUCCGAGAGAUUGGAUCGAGAGUGGAGCUAAUCGGGGUUUGCCCAGCCACCAGAUUUGAGGCUUUUGGGUUUCAAUCCGUUGGAUGACCCUAGUCCACUGGUUCCGACAAGGAAUGGAAUCGAUUGAGAACUAGGGUUUGGGUCUAAGGGCGAUGGGACAUUGAAUUGUGUUUGGUUUCCAAACUAGGAUUAAUUUUUUAUUGGUUUCGAAUUUUUGAUGUAGGCUGAACACAUCUUGUAAUUUUUUUUUUUUUGGUAUAAUUGGAAUAAGGAGCAAGCUCCGAAAAAGAAAGAAAAAAAAAAGGAAAACAAUUCAACGGCAAGAAUAACUAAACUCCCAAAAAACCGCAUCCAUAUGUCUCAUCUCGAAGCAAAGUACCAAGCUGAAAGGGUCCUUCAUGUUAUCCAUAUGAGAGGAUUUAUUGUUCCUUUCUACAUCUAUUGAUCCUUUUUCCAUAUGUCUUAUCUAACUCCUGUUACCCAGCAGGAGCCUUAUAGAACUUGUGUGGAAACUUGUAAUCUCAUAUUACCAUGUCUUGACCAACCAGAAUUUUGUUGUCCUCCACUCCUCAAUACCGGUGGACUGGAACAUUUUGAUAAAGUUACUGCUUAAUGCCUUUAAAAAUAAGAAAAAAGUGUUACUGGCUUAGUGCUCAAAGGAAAAGGGAUCAAUAACACUUCGACUUUUUAUGGAAAUUAUCAUUAUAAUGGAGAGACAAUAGGCUUAUGGACUACCAAUGAGAGCAAUUCAGAAACAAAAGAGCUUUUCUGACAUUAGAUCUUUAUUAAAAAAAAAAAGACCUAAUAGUUAAACCCACAAAUGUCAAACAAACAAUUCAGUAAUAUAUAAUCAUAUUUUCCUUCACUUUUUGGUCAUACAAUAAACAUAAUGAACUUCACUUAGUGAUGCAGAAAGAUGAACAUUUAAAAUUUUCUGAAUGCUUUCUUAUUUUCAUCACCUGUAUAAAUCAUGAUUCUAUAUAGUUCUUAUUUAAGAAUGUCCUUAGCAAAACCCAAGAAAUGAUUUAAUCAAAAUUUCUUGAGACUCCUGUUCGUCGACAAAAACCAAGAAGGGGGAAUCGAUCCAGAGCUAAGCCUGGUUGAAGCUUAAACCCAAUCGAACAUAUGGGACUUGGAGAGACCAGGAAAGGAGAGGGCCUAAUAUGCAAAAAAAUAUACCUAUAAAUUUAUUAAUUUAUUUUAUUGAUGAACACUAGAUCUUGGCACUGUGACCUAUUGACAGAAAGAGUUCAGCCACCUUAUGAUGCUUCCUUACAUAAAUCCAUCUGCUCUGACUUGUCUUCAUGUGUGAUAAUCUUUGCCCAGUACGUUACAGGCAUGUUUGGUUGGGGUGAGUUGGACUCUAAAAUAAAAAUAGAAAUAAAUGACUUCCAUUUCAACAAUUUAGUUAGGAUGCCUUAAUCUUGUAAAAUCUAAUCCAAACUCUCACAUAGUAUUCAAAUCCCAUUCCAAUUCCAAUAAUGAACCAAAUGCUGGGAAUAUGACCAUUCUGAUUCCCGUUCCUAUCCAUUUUGAUUUCGAUUGCAAACCUAACACACCAUUCACUGUAUUGUGAAUAUGGAUUGGACAUUUAUUCUCCUCUAAGAGAAUCCUGGAGCAGUAAAGGCCUAAAGGGGAACUUCAAAUCAAAAGUGACACUAGAGAAACUUAUGGGCAACCAUCAACAGAAUAAUCCAGCAUAAGCCUCAUCAAGGCCUUCAAGUGCCACCAUAUUUCAUACAAAACAAACCAUACCAAAAAGCUUAGGUGGCAAACGAGGAAAGAUAUCUGACUUCUCAUAAUCUCGAGAAGAAGCGCACAUCACAUAGAAAAAAAAGACAAGCGAAGUACAGACAGGGAAUAUGUAACGCAAAUUUUAUUCAUCUAGCAGAAAAGAUGAGGACACAGCUCAUCUCACAGUCAAGCUCAGUUUCCUAUUUUAUUAUAAACACAAAGGCUAAGAUUCACAUGGCACAGGAAAUGCUUUAUUUUGUAACGAGUCUCUCUCCAGAGUGGCUUUACCAAGGUGUAAACCUGCUCUAACCAUCCAUGUGAAUGAUGCACCGAAGGCUUUCCCCCUUGAGCAUGUAAUCGAAGGCCUUGUUGAUCUCGGAGAAAGGUAAACUGUGGGUGAUGAACUUCUCCAAUUCUAGCUCCUACACCAUCAAUGCAACAUGGAAUAGUGAUGAUAAGAAUCCAAUUAGAGGUACAUUUCUUCUAAGAUUAACGACCGAAAAACACAAAUAUACUAUGCUGGAAUCUAAGAAUAAAUUUUGGUGCUUUGUUAGCUAAAACUAUGACCUCAAAGUCUCUAAUCCAUUAGGAGUACCGCUUUUAGCCAUCAGCACAAAUACAUUAAGAGAUUUUUUUUAUAGAAUGAUUAGGCAGAAACUAAUCACUUUUGUGAAGCAAAACAAAGCAGUACAAUUUGAUCAAGAGAAAUUGGAAUCAUUUG